rnacentral:rRNA from 1 species
AGGAGCCCUGCUCCAGCCAUGCCCGCGUGUGCGAUGAAGGCCUUCGGAUUGUAAAGCACUUUUGGCAGGAAAGAAACGUCGCGGGUUAAUACCCCGCGAAACUGACGGUACCUGCAGAAUAAGCACCGGCUAACUACCUGCCAGCAGCCGCGGUAAUACGUAGGGUGCAAGCGUUAAUCGGAAUUACUGGGCGUAAAGCGGGCGCAGGCGGUUCGCAAAGAAAGAUGUGAAAUCCCCCAGCUUAACUUUGGAACUGCAUUUUUAACUACCGGGCUAGAGUGUGUCAGAGGGAGGUGGAAUUCCCCGGGUAGCAGGGAAAUGCGUAUAUAUGGGGAGGAACACCGAUGGCGAAGGCAGCCUCCUGGAAUAUCACUGACCCUCA